AUUGAACGCUGGCGGAAUGCUUUACACAUGCAAGUCGAGCGGCAGCGCGGGGGCAACCCUGGCGGCGAGCGGCGAACGGGUGAGUAAUACAUCGGAACGUGUCCUUAAGUGGGGGAUAGCUCGGCGAAAGCCGGAUUAAUACCGCAUAAGCUCUGAGGAGGAAAGCGGGGGCUCCGUAAGGACCUCGCGCUGUUGGAGCGGCCGAUGUCGGAUUAGCUAGUUGGUGGGGUAAAGGCCCACCAAGGCGACGAUCCGUAGCUGGUCUGAGAGGAUGAUCAGCCACACUGGAACUGAGACACGGUCCAGACUCCUACGGGAGGCAGCAGUGGGGAAUUUUGGACAAUGGGGGCAACCCUGAUCCAGCCAUUCCGCGUGAGUGAAGAAGGCC
rnacentral:rRNA from 1 species